UACGGAGGGUGCAAGCGUUAUCCGGAUUCACUGGGUUUAAAGGGCGCGCAGGCGGUCGGCCAAGUCGAGUGUGAAAGCCCCCGGCUCAACUGGGAGGGUCAUUCGAUACUGGUCGACUCGAAGGCAGGAGAGGGAAGCGGAAUUCCCGGUGUAGUGGUGAAAUGCGUAGAUAUCGGGAGGAACACCAGUGGCGAAGGCGGCUUCCUGGCCUGUUCUUGACGCUGAGG
rnacentral:rRNA from 1 species